rnacentral:rRNA from 1 species
AUACGGAGGAUCCGAGCGUUAUCCGGAUUUAUUGGGUUUAAAGGGAGCGUAGGUGGAUUGUUAAGUCAGUUGUGAAAGUUUGCGGCUCAACCGUAAAAUUGCAGUUGAAACUGGCAGUCUUGAGUACAGUAGAGGUGGGCGGAAUUCGUGGUGUAGCGGUGAAAUGCUUAGAUAUCACGAAGAACUCCGAUUGCGAAGGCAGCUCACUAGACUGUUACUGACACUGAUGCUCGAAAGUGUGGGUAUCAAACAGGAUUAGAUACCCUGGUAGUCCACACAGUAAACGAUGAAUACUCGCUGUUUGCGAUAUACAGUAAGCGGCCAAGCGAAAGCAUUAAGUAUUCCACCUGGGGAGUACGCCGGCAACGGUGAAACUUAAAUGAAUUGGCGGGG